AUACGGAGGGUGCGAGCGUUACUCUGAGUCACUGGGCGUAAAGCGUCCGUAGGCGGUCGGGUAAGUCGGGUGUGAAAGCCCCGGGCUCAACCUGGGAAGUGCACCCGAUACUGCUCGACUCGAGUGCGGGAGAGGAUGGCGGAAUUCCCGGUGUAGCGGUGAAAUGCGUAGAGAUCGGGAGGAACACCAGUGGCGAAGGCGGCCAUCUGGCCCGAAACUGACGCUGAGGGACGAAAGCGUGGGGAGCAAACAGGAUUAGAAACCCCAGUAGUCC
rnacentral:rRNA from 1 species